UGGCUCAGAGCGAACGUUAGCGGCGGGCCUAACACAUGCAAGUCGAACGCGAAAGGUCUUCGGACUGAGUAGAGUGGCGCACGGGUGAGUAACACGUAGGUAAUCUACCCUUUGGCGGGGGAUAACGUUCCGAAAGGAGCGCUAAUACCGCAUAAGACCACGGAGUCUCCGGACGCUGUGGGAAAAGGUGGCCUCUUCUUGAAAGCUACCACCGAAGGAUGAGCCUGCGUCCCAUCAGCUAGUUGGUAAGGUAAUGGCUUACCAAGGCGAAGACGGGUAGCUGGUUUGAGAGAAUGAUCAGCCACACUGGCACUGGAACACGGGCCAGACUCCUACGGGAGGCAGCAGUGAGGAAUAUUGGGCAAUGGGCGAAAGCCUGACCCAGCCACGCCGCGUGAGUGAUGAAGGCCCUCGGGUCGUAAAGCUCUGUGGAGAGGGACGAAAACCCUGGUUUCAAAUAGGCUCCAGGCUUGACGGUACCUCUUUAGCAAGCACCGGCUAACUCUGUG
rnacentral:rRNA from 1 species